GACGGAGGAUGCAAGCGUUAUCCGGAAUGAUUGGGCGUAAAGCGUCCGCAGGUGGCAGUUCAAGUCUGCUGUCAAAGACCGGGGCUUAACUUCGGAAGGCAGUGGAAACUGAACAGCUAGAGUAUGGUAGGGGCAGAGGGAAUUCCUGGUGUAGCGGGUGAAAUGCGUAGAGAUCAGGAAGAACAUCGGUGGCGAAGGCGCUCUGCUGGACCAUAACUGACACUCAGGGGACGAAAGCUAGGGGAGCGAAUGGG
rnacentral:rRNA from 1 species